UUUAUGUAUCAUUUCUUAUGUACUGAAACCCUAGACUACUCCCCGCCUCCAAAACUUCCUCGAAAACUUCUCACUCAAAACCCUCGUUCUGUGCUAUAAAUUCACCUAGAACUCUUCCUCUUCGAAGUUCUUCUAUGUAUAUCGCUGGCUGUUGGACAGCUCGUAAAUUUCUGGGCUGGCAAGAAAGUAUAAUCUUGAAGAUGCCCAGAUGCUCGUGCAAAAACUACACCAGUACCAAUUAGAAGGCUCGAAUUCCUUUUUAUUUUUUAGUUUAAUUUCGGCUACGAUUAAUUGGUUAUCUGCGCUUCUGAGAUUUAUGAUACUUGAAGUAUGAACUUGAAUAAUGGUUGAAUUUCUUGAUAUUGAGUUGAAACUUAAUUUAUUUUAUAUUUUUGUUUUAAAUUUUUGGAAUUUGAAUUUUCUCUUGAAUUUCUGUGGGCAGGGAUGACUAUUUUACAGCUUUUUAAUGCCAGUUCUGCUUCAGAAAAUUCUUGAUUGAUAAAGCUGUUUAUUUCUGAGCCAAUUUUUAUUAGUCAUGCUACAUGUAUAUCAUAUUUGACAUUUUUGUUUACAUGGUAAUACAUCAUUGGACAGUUUAAAAGAAAACGUCUCUUCGGCCACAAUUUUUUUGAAAACAUGGAUGAUGUUAUCAUCAAUUCAAAGAAAAAUCUGUACAAACAGCAUUAUUCAAAAUUAUAACUUGAGAAAGUAAACGAGAAUUCAAUUGAUAUAAAAAUUGAAUAAUGCUCUGCACAGCUUUUCCAUCCUUUUUGUUUCCAAAAAAAAAUUGUGGACAGGAAAAUAGUCUUUUUUAUUUUUUUAAUUGUCCUGUUGUCAUGUGACACAAUGUAAACAAAGAUACUAAAGAAUGUACAUGUAGCAGGAUUGUAUAAUUUUUAUCUAACUUUGUGUAUUUCAUUAAUAAAUCGUGCUUAUAACUGAUUUAAUUAUUAUUUUUUGGUUCAAAAUCGCUUGUUGAAUCAGCUUUAUCUUUCAUUCAAAUUUUGAAUAAUAAUAAUAAUAAUAAUAAUAAUAAAUUGUUUUCUGUUGGAGGCUAGAAAUUAUCUUAUAUAUAGUCCAUGAUGAGUUAAUCUACAUAACUGAGAUGUGGCUGGCUUCAAGUCCCUGUUUUUCAGGGAGAACCUACUUGUGGCUGCUACAUCAUAGCAUGAAAUCACUGGAAAUCUCUGAGACUAUAUUAUCUACCAAAAGAGGUUUUUGCUGGCUUCAAUUUAUUGACACUACGUUUAUUAGAAACAAUGCUUCUAUUCCCUGCGUGCUUCUGAAACAUUAGCUGAGAAGCCUUCUUUUCUUUUUAGCUGAUUGAUAAAGCUGUUUAUUUCUGAGACAGAUUUUUUAAACAUAUUGAAUUCUCUCUCUCUCUACAAAAUCCAAUGUUGACUGAACUCUUAUCUUUCAUUCGAUAAUUGUGAAUAAUGAUAAACAGUGUUUUGUGUUGGAGGCUAGAACUUAUUUUAUCUGUAGUCCAUGAUGAGUUAAUCCACAUAAUUGAGAUGUGGUUGGUGUCAAGUCCCUGUUUUUCAGGGAGAACCUACUUGAGGAUGCUACAUCAAAGCAUGAAAUCAGUGGAAAUCUCUGAGGCUAUAAACUCUUCUAAAGAAGGUUUUUGGUUGACUCCAAUUUUAUUGACUGGGUCUACAUUUAUUAUAAACUCUGGUUAUUUAAUGUUUGGCAGCGCUUCAAAGCGGGUUCUUAACUGCUUUUCUCCGCAUGCUGCUGAGAAUUUGGCUAAGAAGCCUUCUUUUAAGCACAGCCAAACAAUCUGUUAGUAUGGGGGAUUUUUGCAAUUCUGAUAUAUAAAUUUACAAUCAAGAGUGCCAAUGAUGCUGUCGUUGGAUAGUAAAUGAGGUGGAGUUAAGCCAAGUCCCUGCUUUUGCAGUGGAACCUGCUUGGUGGAGCUACGCUAGACGUGAUCAAAGCUUAUCUACUGAGGCAAAGAGGAAUUCUAUAUGUCCUGGUAUUUUUUUCACCCAGAAAAUAACUAUUUCCCUCAAAUGUAUUUCAAGAAACUUAAGAGUACUGUUUUUUUAUUGAUCUUUAUUGGGAAUUCAUUAUGUGGAUUGAAAUUGAGUUUAACUAUACUCUUUGCCCUUGAAUAAACAUUGGGUUUAGGGUCUGAAGAACUCAUAAAUUGUUGUGUUGUCUAUCAGCUUCAUCUCUAUUAAUAUCCCACGAGAAUGGAGUUAAAUAACAGCGCUACAUGUAAAUUUUAAGAAAAUUUUCAUUUGUUAUUUAAUAAAGUCUAAAUUAUCAAACUUUCCAAGGUGGAAUUGGAAUCAGUUUGGUUUUGGUGUGAAAACAACUUGUUAUAAGCAUUUUUGUCCUACAGAAGCCGUUUUCGGCUUUCAAGCUGAGCUAAACAUGCUUUAAUGUAAAAUAUUAUAGGAACUAGUUAUGUGUAAUGUGGUUUACGAAUAGGGGUUAGCUUCCCCUCGUAAAUAUUGAGAGAAUUAUCUUCAUUUUAUUAUGUUAAUUAGCCCAUGUUUGGUUUAGUUAAAAAUAAGAUUUUUAGUAGAAUCUGCUAUGAAAUUCGAAAUUUUGAAAUUAACAAUAGUGGUCCAAAAGUUGACACCCUUGUGUACACUUUUCUUUGAAGUAUCAAAUGUAUCCCUUGAUAAGCAUGUCUAAAGGCUAUAUUACCCUUGCCAUUAAGUAAACAAAACCUAUCACUUUGGUGUAUCUUGGGCCAAAAAGUUACUCUACAACGUGAUUGUGUCAUGAAAUUACGUAUCAAAUUGAAAAUCCGAACAGGGCAAACUUGUUAAAAGCAAAAGUACUUAUGGAAUGAGAUGUUAUGUUUCUUCUGUUUAACAAUGUCUUGCUAAAAACAUAAAAUAUAAAUGGACCCCCAAAAUAAUUGUUAUGACACAAGCUUAACAUAAUAAUGUUAUAUUACUCUCUGAAUUAAUCUCAUGUAAAAUUCAUCAGCAUUUUAAACUUCUGUUGAUUAAUGAAGCAUUUUUUGUUAGUAAGUAUAGUUUCGAUUUUAAAAUGGUGUAACAUUCAUUUCUAUUUAUUAGAAAAGAUGAAAGAUUGUGCAUUUUACAUAAGGAUUAACAAAAGAGGGUGCAUGUUAUAAGAUUACUUUCAUACGGUAUCUUGAAUAUCGUUAUAUUAGUUAGCUGAUGUCAUGUUAUCAAGUUAUAUCAAAAUGCUUCUUAAGGUCAUGUAGAUCAAGGUAUUUUAAGGUAUUAAUUUCCCAUAAGUAGGAUGUGAAAUUAUCUUUACUUUGAUUGGACUAUAGAAAUGUUGAAUUGUGUGGGCUAGGUUGAAUCAACUCGGUUGUCUUGGAAUAUUUUGGCCCUUAACUGGCUUGUUUGGUAGAUAAGCCCAUGGCUUAUAAGUUAUAGGCCUCGCACAAUGUGAGGCUAAAACUGCAUUAAAAGUUGGUCUCACUUGGAAUUAGACAAUAAGUAACUUUGUGCUUUAUUUAUUGUCUAAUUUUAAGUCCACUCUAUGUUUUUAGUCACACAUCUUGUGGGGCCAUUACUUAUAAGUCACGGGUACAUGUCAUUGCUCUGAUCUAAUAGAUGCAGAACAUGUGCUAUUGUCUUUAUUACUUAUUCCUGACAGUUUAAUUUGCCUCAAUAUUAUAUCUAAUUCUAUUAAUUUGACUUUGUUAUAAACACGCAAAGUGUGAAAUCGGGUUUAACACUUUGUGUAGAGUAUCUGUGGCAUUUAUAAGCACACAAAUCCACACUUUGCGUGUAGAGUAUUUGUAGCAUCUUAUAUGUGGUCCCACACUUUGUGUGCUUAUAAAAUAGCCAAUGAGCCCCCACCCAAAUGUGACACUGCUUAUAAGCUCCAAAAUUUUGUUUCGAGCUCUAGUUCUCAGUUGCACAACAUUUUACUUGUGUUGUAUCUUCAAGACACUGAGUUAGUAAUCCAACCAUGGCUUUGUAGAUGGAUGAACAUUUUCCAUUUUAUGAUAAAAUCUACUUCAUUCUCUUGAAUGACAAAUUCAAUGAUCUAUACAAUUGGCUAUAUUUUGAAGUAUAAUUCUAGUUAAUGUUUAUAAAAUUUGUGACUAGAACUGCUGUAGAUAUUUUAGUUUUUGUGUUGUGUCAUGCAUUAUUUUCUAAGGAAAGAUUUGGUUAUCUUUGUGUCUGAUCUUGUAUAUAGUUGUAAUUGUCUUAGAUGACCAUAUGAUUGUUUAUUUAUUAGGUAAAUAAUUUCUCAAAACCGUAUGUUGUACAUGUUUAUUACUUUGGCUCAAUACCAAUAUAUCUCGUUCUACAUGCUAAACCAUAGGCGCCACCCUCUUGUCUUUCUCGUCUUGAAUCCCAGUUUCAUCACCCUCCACCAGGGUUGAAUCACAAACUCGUCAAAUCUCUGCGUCCUUUUAUUCUUCGACCACUCAACUUUGUGAACAAGGUCAACUUUGAAACACAAUAUCGAAGUAAUGGUUGAUGAGACAAAUCAUAGUUUUAUUAUAUUUUAUUUAUAUAUGUUUUCUGAUUUUUACAAUUCGAUUUAUAGUUUCAGUUGGUGUUGGCAGUGAUAAGCAUUUUUACUGCUUUUUAUUGCUUAUCACUGUCACUUCUGGUUGAGAAAAUUGUUCAUUGAUAUAUCUAUGAUUUUCUGUUAGCCAUUUUAACACAAAAUAGUUCUUCUGCAUUAUGUGUUAUUUUCCCAAAUUUUAAUAAUCUCCCUGCAUUGAUUAUUUCAUUAACCAAUCAUUCUUGUUACUGUUCUUCUAAUUUCUUUUGCCAAAAUUUAAUAAUUUUGUGUUGGAAGCUAGAACGUUAUCUUAUAUAUGAGGAGUUAAUCCACGUAAUUGAGGUGUAGAUGGCCUCAAGUCCCUGUUUUACAGGGAGAACCUACUACAGUUGCUGUAUGAAAGCAGGAAAUCACUGGAUAUCUCUGAGGCUAUAUACUUUAAUACAAUGUAAUUUUUAUUUUAUUUUAUUUUUUUUCAAAAUACUGAUGUGAGCCUGAUUAAGUAAUAAAAGAAGUUUUUAUUGACUCAACUUUUAGUGACUAUAAAUUUAUCAAAAAGAAAGGUUUAUUAUGUUUGCUCAUGCUCCAAAGAAAAUUCUUAGCUGCUUUGCAUGCUGCAAAAGAAAGUUACUAGAAAGCCUAUUUUUAAUCACGGCCAAAGGCCAACUGCUGUUAGUUAUUAAUGUUUUACUUUGCUGAUAUAUAAUCUUUUUUUCCCUUUGUCGGUCUAGAACUCUGAAGUUCGGAUUCUUCGAAAUAGUAGGAAUACUUGUGUUGGACAUGAUAGGACCUGGGUAUGGGUAUGAAAUAUUUGUCGGAUCUUUUAAGUUUUGUCAUUUUUACUUCUUUUUUUCUUUUCCAUUUUCUCGCUCUAUAAAUUUAGUGCCGCGAGCAAGAUGAUUGUUAUAUUUAGAUUUUUGAAUUGACAUUGGAUUAUCU
rnacentral:lncRNA from 1 species